rnacentral:miRNA from 1 species
UAUGGAGGUUCUAGACCAUGUU